UACGAAGGGGGCUAGCGUUGCUCGGAAUCACUGGGCGUAAAGCGCACGUAGGCGGCUUGCUAAGUCAGGUGUGAAAUCCUGGAGCUCAACUCCAGAACUGCCUUUGAUACUGGCGAUCUUGAGUCCGGGAGAGGGGAGUGGAACUGCGAGUGUAGAGGUGAAAUUCGUAGAUAUUCGCAAGAACACCAGUGGCGAAGGCGGCUCACUGGCCCGGUACUGACGCUGAGGCACGAAAGCGAGGGUAGCGAACGGG
rnacentral:rRNA from 1 species